UACAUGGGGUGCAACCGUUGCUCGGACUUAUUGGGCGUAAAGCGCGCGUAGGCGGUUACUCAAGUCGGCUGUGAAAGCCCUCGGCUUAACUGAGGAAGUGCACCCGAAACUGAGUAGCUAGAGUACUAAAGAGGGUCGCGGAAUUCCCGGUGUAGAGGUGAAAUUCGUAGAUAUCGGGAGGAACACCGGUGGCGAAGGCGGCGACCUGGGUAGAUACUGACGCUGAGGCGCGAAAGCGUGGGGAGCAAACAGG
rnacentral:rRNA from 1 species